rnacentral:misc_RNA from 1 species
UUCACUCCUUUUGCUCUAUAAAAUCCCCACCCCGCUUCCCAUUUCUAUGUAUUCUCCUUGCGCUUUCAUCCCGCAAGAUCAAGAACAAGGCUAAAAUCUUUAUCUUUGAUACAAUUUUUAAUACAAUCGAUCAAUGUUUUGAAAUUUUGCCCGGUAAAGUGGUGAUGAUGAUGGAGACGGAGCACGAACAGGGGGGGACGCUAUCUUAUUAUACCAUUCUUGGUGUGAGUGCGGAUUCUUCCAUUGAAGAUAUAAAACGAGCGUAUCGUAGGCUUGCUAUGCAAUGGCAUCCUGAUAGGUGGACAAAAACCCCUGCCUUGUUAAGUGAAGCCAAACGUAAAUUCCAACAAAUUCAGGAGGCCUAUUCAGUGUUAUCAGACCAAAAGAAGAGGGCAUUGUAUGAUAUAGGAUUUUAUGACCCUGAAGAGGAAGAAGAUGAGGGAUUCUCUGAUUUCGUGCAAGAAAUGUGGUCUCUCAUGGCACAGAACAAGAGAGAGGACAAGAACUAUAGCAUGGAGGAGCUGCAAACAAUGUUCACGGAAAUGGUACAAGGAUUUGAAUCUUCUUGGUCAUACUAUGGAUCUUCCAUUUUUUAUUACCCUGGACAGUCGAAAAGGGCGUGGGGUGAUUCAAAACCAGUGAUGGAUAGCAGUGGUUCACAUUUUGGAGUAUCAAGCUGGGGAUGUAUGGAACAAGCAGUUAUUGCAACUAGGGGAUCCCAUUUUGCUCUUUCUGGCCGGAAGUUAUUGUGAUGAUGGAGAGAAGGACAAAUAUUUGAUUUUGUUCCUCAUUUUGUGUGGACAUUGAAUGGAAUUAUCAGUUAUGUAUAUGAGUUGUGACACAAUUUUGGAGAAAGAUGAUUGUGUGAAUCAUUGGAUUGGUGUUUUGUGCUUCAGGUUUGGCCAUGAUUGCAUUUCUUGAGAGGCACACGUGCGCCUACUCUUUUCAAUGUUAUGGUGGGUGCUAGACUAAUUAUGCCGAAACCCGGGCUGCCAACUAUUGGGCCUGGAAAUUAGCCAUAUCCAUUCUGUACAACAUUUGCAUAUG